UCAGUGGAGGUGGUGAAGGAUAUGCAGUC
rnacentral:piRNA from 2 species